CGGCACGGGUGAGUAACACGUAUCCAACCUGCCGUCUACUCUUGGCCAGCCUUCUGAAAGGAAGAUUAAUCCAGGAUGGCAUCAUGAGUUCACAUGUCCGCAUGAUUAAAGGUAUUUUCCGGUAGACGAUGGGGAUGCGUUCCAUUAGAUAGUAGGCGGGGUAACGGCCCACCUAGUCAACGAUGGAUAGGGGUUCUGAGAGAAAGGUCCCCCACAUUGGAACUGAGACACGGUCCAA
rnacentral:rRNA from 1 species